GGUGCUUGCAUCUUGAUUUAAUUUUGAACGAGUGGCGGACGGGUGAGUAACACGUGGGUAACCUGCCCUUAAGUGGGGGAUAACAUUUGGAAACAGAUGCUAAUACCGCAUAAAUCCAAGAACCGCAUGGUUCUUGGCUGAAAGAUGGCGUAAGCUAUCGCUUUUGGAUGGACCCGCGGCGUAUUAGCUAGUUGGUGAGGUAACGGCUCACCAAGGCAAUGAUACGUAGCCGAACUGAGAGGUUGAUCGGCCACAUUGGGACUGAGACACGGCCCAAACUCCUACGGGAGGCAGCAGUAGGGAAUCUUCCACAAUGGACGCAAGUCUGAUGGAGCAACGCCGCGUGAGUGAAGAAGGCUUUCGGGUCGUAAAACUCUGUUGUUGGAGAAGAAUGGUCGGCAGAGUAACUGUUGUCGGCGUGACGGUAUCCAACCAGAAAGCCACGGCUAACUACGUGCCAGCAGCCGCGGUAAUACGUAGGUGGCAAGCGUUAUCCGGAUUUAUUGGGCGUAAAGCGAGCGCAGGCGGUUUUUUAAGUCUGAUGUGAAAGCCCUCGGCUUAACCGAGGAAGUGCAUCGGAAACUGGGAAACUUGAGUGCAGAAGAGGACAGUGGAACUCCAUGUGUAGCGGUGAAAUGCGUAGAUAUAUGGAAGAACACCAGUGGCGAAGGCGGCUGUCUGGUCUGUAACUGACGCUGAGGCUCGAAAGCAUGGGUAGCGAACAGGAUUAGAUACCCUGGUAGUCCAUGCCGUAAACGAUGAAUGCUAGGUGUUGGAGGGUUUCCGCCCUUCAGUGCCGCAGCUAACGCAUUAAGCAUUCCGCCUGGGGAGUACGACCGCAAGGUUGAAACUCAAAGGAAUUGACGGGGGCCCGCACAAGCGGUGGAGCAUGUGGUUUAAUUCGAAGCAACGCGAAGAACCUUACCAGGUCUUGACAUCUUUUGAUCACCUGAGAGAUCAGGUUUCCCCUUCGGGGGCAAA
rnacentral:rRNA from 1 species